AUACAUAAUUCAAGAAGGUUUUUCGACAUGAAGCAACAGACCGAUCAGUGUGUGUCAAAGUACACAGAGAGCAAACGACUCCUUUUGUUUUUCAAUCGCUCUCGUCAUCAUACUUCUCAUCGUCCUGAUAACUACAGCGCAUUAGCACCAGUGGUUUGCUGCACACCAAAUUGUGCAACGUGUAGCUUCUUUAACUGUAAUGACUUUCUAUGAUGCAGAACCCAUGAGCCUUCUUUAGCUGUUAACCAGUGCUAAAUUUUGGGCAUGUCGGGGGAGGUUAGUUCAGUUACAGCUUUUUAGUUUAACCUCCAGACCAGUGUGAUAUGUAUUAAUAUUCCAAUAUAAAAUCAAAGGUUAGCUCCAUAUGCACCACAGAGGACUUGACUGAAGCCCUGAAUAUUCACUGACCCUCACUGACCAGCUCCUGGGUCUCAAACCUCCCGCUAAACUGUAACAGUGUAAUACAAUGAUCUAUUCUAAACAUUACAAAUAUUUCAGAAACCUCUUGAGAAAAAAUACAUAAUAAACACACACACCAUCUGGAAAACACUCUCGUCACUUAUUUGCAUUUUGGAACGAGUGAUCAAAAGCUAUUAAUGUCACUUAAGUGUAAUGAAGAACUGGAAAUAAUUCCAGAAGUGCUGGGUCACGCAUGGCCAGCAGUCCGAGACCAUAGUUCCACCCGCUGAAUUGUGCAACAUGAAUGUUAUAGUCAAACAUUAAAACAUUUGUACUGCAUGUCUUUUCCCGGCACUAAUUUAUUUCUCCCAUUACCUUGACGACGCUGCCCUAUUUCAUCUGACUGUCAAGGCGUUUCACGGACUGUGAGUAGGUUUCGCAUAUUUUUAAGCAGUAGGGGGAUUCAUGGAUUCAUGAUCUGACUACUGCAGUGAAUCUCUUUGUAAAAAUUUGGGGGCAUUUGUUCAUGGAGUCAACUUAAAAAAUGGCUACCAGCUUCAAAAUUUACUUCACAAUGGCUCUACAAGCCAAACAUCAGCGCAGUCACAGUGCGUUUAUGUACUAGUGACUUUGCAAAAGCAAGCCUUUUCACAUUAUGACUUAUGACUUAUGAUCGUAAAUACGAUCUUUCCUAUCUUUGGUAAGCUGCUGAAAAUAAAACUUGCAGGUGUAUCUUAAGUGCCCAUCACUUGACCAUUUUAUCUAUUUAAAAAAUAUUAGGUUGGGUUGACACCAAUGUGUUACAAAUAUUACUAUGGAUGUACAAAACAAUUAAUAUUCAUGUAAUGUUUGUUUAAAGCUGACAGAAAGUGUGAGGAGGAAAUUGUGAGGCAGGUUGGGAAGAAGAUAAUGUCCCACGAACCGCAGUUUGAUCAUAAUUGCAGGAAUAUGAAGAACAAACAGGAAAAUUCAUAAACUAUACAUGCACACUCUGUGAAAGUUAGAUGGGACAGCAUGGAGAUUCUGAGACCACGUUUCUCUCGUAGUCAAGCUGCAGAGUCUCAUUCGGAUGAAUCACAGGUCCAGGAUGAGGUGACUUUAUUCACCAUGGUUCAUUCACUAUCUGGGACAACUUUCCCCAAUUUUCUGAUAUUUUGUGAGUUCUCCACGGCUGCACAUUUGGAGCAGCACUUGUGUUCCUAUAGCAAACAUACUGUACAUUUGCAUUCAUCCUCCUCAAAUGUUUAUUUUCUGUUUUUAUGCAGUUUUCUGUUGCCUGUAUGACUGAGUUGAGUGAGUCUGCUGUUGUUCUGUCAUUUCAGGGGGCAGCCGUGGCCUAAUGGUUAGGGAGUGUCUGUGUGUGUGUGUUUGUUCACUACUCAAUACUGUGUGUGUGCACUUGGAUGGGUUAAACGCAGAGCACAAAUUCCAAGUAUGGGUCACCAUACUUGGCUGCACGUCACGUCCUUUCCUUUCCUUUCCUUUCCUCCUUAUUUGUGUGUUGUGUUGCAGUGUCUGACUGUUACAUGCUAUUUUAACACUUUUUUUUUUUUUUUUGCUGAGAGCCAGGGUUGUUGUUUAGUUUUUUUUUGAAGCCUUAUAUGAUGUAAAACCAAUUUUAAUUUUUUUUUUUUUUUUGUAGCUAUAAUAAGGAGAACACAUUUGUGUUAGAGUGGAGUUCAGAAGAGAGCGUAAAUGUUGUUUUAAACGUUAAAAUAUUAAAUGUUGUUUAACUGACUUCAUGAUGCAACCUGAUGCAUUCCAUUGUACAAUCAUAUUUUAGUAUCAUUUUAUAUCUGGUUUUACAUGAUUUUACAUUAUAAUAUUUGAAAAUUCUUUCCACUGACUGUACUUAAUUUUCCAAGAAGAUGUCAAAUGAAAAAAAGUGUUUGUUUAUCAAAGGUGUAAAUAAAAGAUUGAAUAAUUA